UGGUAAAUAUUCUCUUUAUUCAUUCUGUCAGUUAUAAAUCUCCACCAGCCACAAUUUCAACCUAACGCAAAUGAUAUUAUCUCACAGAUUCCAUCUUAACUUCUUCAACCAUCCAGAAUUAACUCAUCCAGCUCGCAUCGCCAUUUCUGUUCACAUAGUGACGGGGCAUUUGACGCGCUGCACUUUCUAUUCCUCCACCAGGGUCACUGUUGAUUUCUUGCACAGUGUCUUCACUUCCCCAUCCGUCAAUGGUUUACACUGCAUCAGGCGGUCGAUCUGUUGGUCCAGAUCACCAUGAGACAGCAUCGUUUUAUGCCUCUUUCUUUUUAAUUCUAUUUUUUUUAUUCCACUGGUAAUGGAGCAAAGAGUUAUUGGGGUUUGAGCUCAAGUCGUGACAUGGAGAUUUGGAGUUAGGGUUAAGAUUCUGGGUAGAGAGAGAGUUUUGUUAUUGUUUUGGGAGCUUGCAGCUAUGAGGGGAAGAUUUUGUUCGAGUCAAUGCAUAAGGAGUAUGGUAUAUACCCUACUGUUGAGCAUUAUGCUUUGGGAUUCUCUCCUUGGAUCGUGUAGAAUUCAUUGUGAUGUUAAACUUGCAGGGAGGGAAGCUUGAGCCUACAAAUGUUGGGAUUUAUGGGCUUCUUGCUGACAUUUAUGCAGAAGCUGGUAUGUGGGAUGGUGUAAAAGGAGUGAAGAAGCUGCUUGAAACUCAAGGACUACAAAAAGCACCUGGUCCCAAGUGGAUCGAAGCUAAAAUAGAACUAUACUCAUUUGUGUCUGUUGUUGAGUUUAACCCUUAGAUUGAUUUAUUGGUUAAACUGUUAAUCGAGAUGGAGGAGAAAGGCUGCACGCCAUAAACCGAAGUUGUUCUCUAUGACCUUGACGCAGAGGAAAAGGACCGAAUUAUAUUAACUGUGAUAUGAUUUUCUUCUGCAGCUUUGCAAUAUCAGUGGAGACAAUCAUCCCCAACAACUCCAUGUGUAAAUUCAUCUGCUAUCCAGCCGGAACCUACCUUGGCUCAAGAUUUGCCAGUGCCAUUAAAUCAGGUUCAACUUCCGAUCUUCGAAUUGCUGAUGAGUUAGUUGAUAAAGAAGAGUAUAUGAGCUAGUAAACGAGAGAAAGGAAGUAGAGGAGAGGACAAGGACAAUAGAAAAGUUAUAAUUUCCUACAUGGCUGAAAAAGACUCGGAAGGCCUAAAGGCGAUUAAGUCCAGAUAGAGAAAAGGACAUAGCAGCAGAGCGAGCUGCUACAGUUAGAGAGGAGCACAAUUGAAGAAUUUUUGUACGAGUAUUUGUCUAUACUCUAGUAGUUUAGUUUGAUGUAAAUAUGAUAGUAUGCAUAUGUAUCUCUAUAAUUUGAGCAGUUGUACAGAUAAAAUUGUAAUAAUAUU